CGAGACUGCCGGUAAUAAACCGGAGGAAGGUGGGAUGACGUCAAAUCAUCAUGCCCCUUAUGACCUGGGCUACACACGUGCUACAAUGGUUGGUACAACGAGUUGCGAGUCGGUGACGGCGAGCUAAUCUCUUAAAGCCAAUCUCAGUUCGGAUUGUAGGCUGCAACUCGCCUACAUGAAGUCGGAAUCGCUAGUAAUCGCGGAUCAGCACGCCGCGGUGAAUACGUUCCCGGGCCUU
rnacentral:rRNA from 1 species